CUAUGUGAUAGAAAAGGAAACAAUAAUUGUUAUAAAAACAAAUAAAGCACAUUUAUUAAUAUAUAUGAAGUAGAAGAACUGUCUCUGCAAAGUUCAGUCAUGUCUGUGCAUCACCACAAAGCUGAUCUGUUCAGAUAAGUGAGCAGGUGUUGGUACUCAGUAUAUGACUACUUUAGUUAGCUGUAACAUUUGCAGUGUAAAUUAUAAUGAUUUAAUACUGGAGUGUUAUUACUGAUAGAUCUACCCAGAAGUUUGAAAUUGGCAAUAACAGAAUAUCCUGAAUAUAAUGACUUUGACAGUUUUCCACUUGAUUAAUUCUGAUCAAAAACACUUUAUGCCACCAGAACAACUAAGACCUAUCAAGGUUUGGACUCCACAAUAUCUCUGCUGGUGUCUAAUAGUAUCAGGCAGAUCCUUUCAGUUCUGUCAGUUGUGAGGUGGGUCUUCCACUGAUUGUUGUUCCAGGGGUCAGCAUAAGAAGUCUGUCAUUUCAUAAGUUUUCACUUGUAUUAUUAUUUUGAAAGAGAUCUGGUUUCCUGUUUUGUUUUGGUUUUUGUCUCUGCCUGAAAUACAUGCAUGACAUUUUUAUUCUGCUUUUUCCACAUUUCAGCAAUCUCCUCACCAAACAGUGGCACAGAAAAGUCAAGUCCAGAUCGACUGCAGUCAUAAUGAUGGGAACCUUGCUCUAAUGCUCUGACCUUUGCUGAACAAAGCCGUGUUUAACCUACAACAGCACAAACUUGGAGGAUGUCAGCUGUGAUCGGGUUUCUUCUCGUCUUCCUUUCAAGUCAAGCCAGCAGUGUGACCUUUCAGCCAUCUCAUCCAAGAAUAGUCACUGAAACAGCCAAUGUUAAGAUUGCAUGCAGUCAUGAUGAUAAUGGCCUCAAUUUAAUGCUUUGGUACCAGCAAAAAGAAAAUGGUUUAAUGAGCUUCAUAGGAUACAGCUACACAGGCAGUGUCGCUGUCAUCGAGGAGCAGUUUGAAAAUCGUUUUGACAUUACAAGAGAAAAUAUCCAAACAGGAGCUCUGAGCAUCAGCAGUGUGAUUGUAUCAGACUCAGCUGUGUACUUCUGUGCUGCCAGC